rnacentral:rRNA from 1 species
UCGGAACGUGUCCUGUAGUGGGGGAUAGCCCGGCGAAAGCCGGAUUAAUACCGCAUACGAUCUACGGAAGAAAGCGGGGGAUCGCAAGACCUCGCGCUAUAGGGGCGGCCGAUGGCAGAUUAGCUAGUUGGUGGGGUAAAGGCCUACCAAGGCGACGAUCUGUAGCUGGUCUGAGAGGACGACCAGCCACACUGGGACUGAGACACGGCCCAGACUCCUACGGGAGGCAGCAGUGGGGAAUUUUGGACAAUGGGGGAAACCCUGAUCCAGCAAUGCCGCGUGUGUGAAGAAGGCCUUCGGGUUGUAAAGCACUUUUGUCCGGAAAGAAAACCUUCGAGUUAAUACCUUGGGGGGAUGACGGUACCGGAAGAAUAAGCACCGGCUAACUACGUGCCAGCAGCCGCGGUAAUACGUAGGGUGCGAGCGUUAAUCGGAAUUACUGGGCGUAAAGCGUGCGCAGGCGGUUCGUUAAGACAGAUGUGAAAUCCCCGGGCUUAACCUGGGAACUGCAUUUGUGACUGGCGAGCUAGAGUAUGGCAGAGGGGGGUAGAAUUCCACGUGUAGCAGUGAAAUGCGUAGAGAUGUGGAGGAAUACCGAUGGCGAAGGCAGCCCCCUGGGCCAAUACUGACGCUCAGCACGA